CGUUCGAAGGGCAGCCGGCUGCCUGCCUCCGAGGCUGCUAGUAGCCAGUGGGGGAGGCGAACUUUGCGGACGCAACCAAUGAGAGCAAAAGGGAGUCAUUGGGCUAGCUCGCUAUGUGAAUCCUUUUGUGGCGCGUGACUAGCCUCGUUCGCGUACCGUGACGUGACCCAUCCUUCGACACGUAGUAGAGGAGGCCUCCUGCCCUGGGGCUCCAAGGAGCGAUUGAAGAAAAGGGCUAUUACCUCAGAGUGACGCUUGUUCUCCAGACCAAGGAGUCAAAGAGAUCAGCUCUCUACCAAGAAAUGGUUUGUGGAUGUGACUUCGACUAUGUCUUCAAUCUCUGCAAGGAAGAGCAUAGGUAUCACAAACAGAAGGGUAAUCUAAUCAGUCUCCAAACACUGGCCAAUGGAGUUCCUCCAGCAGAGCAGACAUCCAAAAAGGACCCACAGAAGGUCAGAGCAUUGGAUGGUGGACUCACGGCCACUGCUGGACCCACAACAGGCGUCCACCCCACAAAUGCAAGUUCCCAUUCACUCUGACUUCGCUGAGGGACCAGACCAUUCCACUGCCCAGGGCAUCCGUACCUGUUGUACAUCUUCAGCAGGAUCAGAACCACAGAGAAGAUGAUGAUGACCACCACCACAAUGGCAGCAACGAUGGCUCCAGAACCUGCGGAGAGGAGAGGAGAGGAGAUGGGAAGGUGUGCACUGAAAUGCAGAAAAGCAUCCGGAGGGGCUGAGAGGGGACAGCUACUUUGGCACCAGACAGCCCCUACUGGGUCCAGGGAAGGAGGAGAGAAGGAUGUGUUCUGGAAAGCUGACUGCUGACCUCAGCUGUGUCCUGGCAUAUCAUCUGCCAGGAUUCUGCCUUACGCCAAGUCCGGUUCCCAACGAUAGGUAUCGGCUCCAGUACAGCUUCAACUUUCUUUUGUGAAACUGACAAACAAAACACCUCUCCUAUUUUUGGCAAUUUUUGGUAAAAACGUAAUAUGUGAUUUUUGUAAAUAAUUUUGAAAAUAUAAAUACAAUCCAAAACAAAGGAGGGGUGGAGGGAGAUAAAAACCUCAUUGCCCCAGAACCAUUAUCUUCU